rnacentral:misc_RNA from 1 species
AACGAGGCCGACCUGCGGCUGAGUUACCUGCGGAAGGAUCAUUACUGAGUGAGGGCCUUCGGGCUCGACCUCCAACCCUUUGUGAACACAACUUGUUGCUUCGGGGGCGACCCUGCCGUUUCGACGGCGAGCGCCCCCGGAGGCCUUCAAACACUGCAUCUUUGCGUCGGAGUUUAAGUAAAUUAAACAAAACUUUUAGCAACGGAUCU